rnacentral:tmRNA from 1 species
GGGGGCGAUUCUGGAUUCGACGGGAUUCGCGAAACUCCGGGAGCAUGCCGAGGGGCGGUUGGCCUCGUUAAAAGCCGCACAGUUAUAGUUGCAAACGACGAUAACUACAACGGAGUUGCUCUAGCAGCAUAAUUCUAGCCCUAAUCGGCUAGAUCUCCCCAUCAGCCACAUGCUUAGCACAUGGGUAGUGGAAUCUGAUGGUCAUCUAACAUGAUGCUAGCGAGGGAACCUUGUUCGGGGGUGAACCGCGAAACAGUACCGGACUCACCAAUUAAAAUCCUGUCUUUCGGAGGUUGAUUGGUUAAACAAAAGAGAGACUAAGCAUGUAGCGCCUUGAGCGUAGGUUUUUCGGACGCGGGUUCAAAUCCCGCCGCCUCCACCA